GGUAGAAAUCAAAUUUUAUUAAAUAAGAUUGUUGUGAAAAUUUCUUUGAUAUAAUUUAAACUUAAAUAUAAAUUAAUUAAUUUAGAUUAUACAAGAUUAUUAUAUUUGGUAAAUGAAAAAUGCUCUGCUUAUAAAUAAAUUUCACAAUGUUUUACAAACUCUAUAAUUCAGAGAUUGAAUUUCAACUUUAAAAUUAGGGAGCGUUUGGUUCGCAAUAUAAAAGAUUACUAAGAAUAAAAAGAUGUCUAAGAAUCUUAUUUCUAUUCAUCCUAUUACAAAGAAUGUGGCAUUCCUGUGUUUGGUUCGUACAGUCAUAUUAUUUAGCCAUAGUAUUUUAGAUUACAAAAAAUAUACAAUUAAUUUAUUUAUUUCUUUAAUUAAUUUUAGAUAAUGCUACUAAAAAUUUCAACAUCUUUUUAGAAAAAUGGGAGAGAGAACAUACGUUCGAGAGAGAGAGAGCAUAAUUAAAGAAAUAGAAAGAUAAAUAGAGUCAAGGUUAGAGGGAGUGAGAGAGUUGAAAUUUUAGAAGAAGAGGGGGAGAGAGACUUAGUUUAGAGAGAGAAAAAAAAUUGAAGUUUAAAGAGAAAAAGAUAAGUUUAGAGAGACAUAUGAAAUUAGAUUGUAAAGAAAAAUAAUAUCAAUUAGUCAGCGGAUAGGGAGAAAGAAAGAGAUUAAAUAUAUUAUGAUUAUCCCAAUCCAUUAAUAUGAGGAUACCCACCGUCCCUCAAGGGAAUGAGAUUAGUACUUUGGGUUGAAUUAAUCUCAUUUUCAAGUAAAUCAAAUAUUACCAACUAGAUUACUUAGUGCGUUUAGCCAAACACCAUCAUAUUUUUUUAUUCCUAUUGGAUUACUAGGAAUCUUAAAAAGAUAGCGUGAACCAAACACACCCUUAAGGUUAAUUUCAAAUACCACCCAUGUAGUUUAACGUUUCUCACUUUAAUACCCUGUUGUUUAAAGUGUAUCAAAUUAGUACCCUAUGAUUUUAUUUUUCUCUUUUCGUCAGCUCCUCCGUUAACAUUUCAUUAAAUUAUAUACAAAAAACUUCAUAUACUUCACCUAUAUUUAUCGCAUAUUCAAUUUAGUACCUUUUAGUUUUAACUUUGUCACUAGUUCACUGAAAAAAAUUAGUGGAGGGAAAAAUAAAAAGAGAAAAAUAAAAUCACGGGGUACUAAAUUGAUACACUUUAAACCAUAGGGCACUAAAAUAAAAAAAGUGCGAAAUCACAAGGGUAGUAUUUGAAGUUUUUCCUUAAAAUUAUAAGUCAUGCUUACCUU
rnacentral:lncRNA from 1 species